rnacentral:rRNA from 1 species
UACAGAGGGUGCGAGCGUUAAUCGGAAUUACUGGGCGUAAAGCGCGCGUAGGCGGCUUUGCAAGUCGGGUGUGAAAUCCCCAGGCUUAACCUGGGAACUGCAUUCGAGACUGCAUUGCUAGAGUAUGGGAGAGGGAAGUGGAAUUUCCGGUGUAGCGGUGAAAUGCGUAGAUAUCGGAAGGAACAUCAGUGGCGAAAGCGACUUCCUGGACCAAUACUGACGCUCAUGUGCAAAAGCGUGGGGAGCAAACAGG